rnacentral:rRNA from 1 species
AGCAGUCGCCGCGGUAAUACGAAGGGUGCAAGCGUUAUUCGGAAUGACUGGGCGUAAAGAGCGUGCAGGUGGUUACCUAAGUCAGUUGUUAAAGACCCCGGCUCAACUGGGGAAAAGCGAUUGAUACUGAGUAACUCGAGGGCAAGAGGGAGGAGUGGAAUUCUCGGAGUAGCGGUAAAAUGCGUAGAUCUCGAGAGGAACACCGAUUGCGAAGGCAGCUCCUUGGCUUGUUUCUGACACUCAAGCGCGAAAGCGUGGGGAGCAAACAGGAUUAGAGACCCCCGUAGUCCCUGUCUCUUAUAC